rnacentral:snoRNA from 1 species
AUUCCAUGAUGGGGACAUUCUAGGAUGUAGUCUUGGAAGCGCUCCCAUGCUUCUGGAACAAAUUCAUCAUGUUUGUUGACGGU